CCAACCUAUCUUUUAACUCUCUCGGGAGCAAUUUCAUGAUAGCAGCAAUAAUAGUAAUGGAAGCAUGGUGCUCUAGGUGCUGGUACGGAGUUGUACCUUCCAAUGGUGAGCCCAAGAUGUGCUCGAAUUCUUCUAAGGUUGGUGCCAACUGGAAGUCUUGAAAUGUAAACCAGCUCAAUGGAGAAUCAUAAUAUUGAGACAACGUAGUGAUAGCAAGUGAUGGUACGUCC
rnacentral:lncRNA from 1 species